rnacentral:rRNA from 1 species
GCUCUUAUUUAAAAUUAGGAGUAGUUCCUGCCCUAUGCUAUAAUAGUAAAUGGCCGCAUAAAGCGCUAAGGUAGCAUAAUAAUAUGCCCUUUAAUUGAGGGAAAGCAUGAAUGGAUUGACGAGGGUUUAUUUUUCUUAAAACUAAAUAUUGAAUUUGGAAACUAGGUUAAAAUACCUAGAUAUGGAUAAGGGACGAGAAGACCCUAGGAUCUUGAUCUGUAAAGAUUUUGCUGGGGCGGCAUUUUAAACAUAUAACUUUAAAUACCCAACAUAUACCCAUACGAGUAUUGUUCCUAAAAGUUACCCUAGGGAUAACAGAGUAAUUUUAUUAAAGAGCCCUUAUCAAUAAUAAAGAUUGCGACCUCGAUGUUGAAUUAGGAAUCCCCUGAGAAGAAGCAUUCUCAGAGGGGAGUCUGUUCGACUCUUAAAUUCC